rnacentral:rRNA from 1 species
UCGAGAAUCUUCCGCAAUGGGCGAAAGCCUGACGGAGCAAUGCCGCGUGAAGGAUGAAGGUCUUAGGAUUGUAAACUUCUGUCACCGGGGAUGAAUUAUGACAGUACCCGGGGAGGAAGCACCGGCUAACUACGUGCCAGCAGCCGCGGUAAUACGUAGGGUGCGAGCGUUGUUCGGAAUUAUUGGGCGUAAAGGGUUCGUAGGAGGUUCAUUAAGAUUGGUGUGAAAUCCCAAGGCUCAACCUUGGAACUGCAUUGAUUACUGAUGGACUAGAGUAUCGUAGAGGAGAGCGGAAUUCCAGGUGUAGCGGUGGAAUGCGUAGAUAUCUGGAAGAACACCGACAGCGAAGGCAGCUCUCUGGGCGAAAACUGACUCUGAGGAACGAAAGCGUGGGUAGCAAACAGG